rnacentral:rRNA from 1 species
GACGAACGCUGGCGGCGUGCUUAACACAUGCAAGUCGAACGGAAAGGCCCUGCUUUUGUGGGGUGCUCGAGUGGCGAACGGGUGAGUAACACGUGAGUAACCUGCCCUUGACUUUGGGAUAACUUCAGGAAACUGGGGCUAAUACCGGAUAGGAGCUCCUGCUGCAUGGUGGGGGUUGGAAAGUUUCGGCGGUUGGGGAUGGACUCGCGGCUUAUCAGCUGGUUGGUGGGGUAGUGGCUUACCAAGGGUUUGACGGGUAGCCGGCCUGGGAGGGUGACCGGCCACAUGGGGACUGAGAGACGGACCAGACUGCAACGGUAGGCAGCAGUGGGGAAUAUUGCACAGUGGGCGGAAGCCUGAUGCAGCAACGCCGCGUGCGGGAUGACGGCCUUCGGGUUGUAAACCGCUUUCGCCUGUGACGAAGCGUGAGUGACGGUAAUGGGUAAAGAAGCACCGGCUAACUACGUG